rnacentral:rRNA from 1 species
GAUGAACGCUGGCGGCGUGCUUAACACAUGCAAGUCGAACGGUGAAGGCGGAGCUUGCUCUGCUGGAUCAGUGGCGAACGGGUGAGUAACACGUGAGCAAUCUGCCCCUGACUCUGGGAUAAGCGCUGGAAACGGCGUCUAAUACUGGAUACGAGCUGCGAAGGCAUCUUCAGCAGCUGGAAAGAACUUCGGUCAGGGAUGAGCUCGCGGCCUAUCAGCUUGUUGGUGAGGUAACGGCUCACCAAGGCGUCGACGGGUAGCCGGCUUGAGAGGGUGACCGGCCACACUGGGACUGAGACACGGCCCAGACUCCUACGGGAGGCAGCAGUGGGGAAUAUUGCACAAUGGGCGAAAGCCUGAUGCAGCAACGCCGCGUGAGGGACGACGGCCUUCGGGUUGUAAACCUCUUUUAGCAGGGAAGAAGCGAAAGUGACGGUACCUGCAGAAAAAGCGCCGGCUAACUACGUG